rnacentral:rRNA from 1 species
UACGAAGGGGGCUAGCGUUGCUCGGAAUUACUGGGCGUAAAGCGCACGUAGGCGGGUCGUUAAGUCGGGGGUGAAAUCCUGGAGCUCAACUCCAGAACUGCCCUCGAAACUGGCGAUCUUGAGUUCGGGAGAGGUGAGUGGAGCUGCGAGUGUAGAGGUGAAAUUCGUAGAUAUUCGCAAGAACACCAGUGGCGAAGGCGGCUCACUGGCCCGAUACUGACGCUGAGGUGCGAAAGCGUGGGGAGCAAACAGG